UACGUAGGUGGCAAGCGUUGUCCGGAUUUACUGGGCGUAAAGAGCGCGCAGGCGGUUGAAUCAGUCGAACGUGAAAGCCCCCGGCUCAACUGGGGAGGGUCAUUCGAUACUGUUCGACUCGAAGGCAGGAGAGGGAAGCGGAAUUCCCGGUGUAGUGGUGAAAUGCGUAGAUAUCGGGAGGAACACCAGUGGCGAAGGCGGCUUUCUGGCCUGUUCUUGACGCUGAGGCGCGAAAGCCAGGGGAGCAAACGGG
rnacentral:rRNA from 1 species